AGCACAGUUUUUUCUUCUGACCUGACACUACUAAAAUUAGGGUGGACAGUACCUAUCCAUGAUGUAACUGGGGUCAAGUCUUGGAAGGCUUUAGUGCAGUUGUGGUCCCAUCCAAAUUUAACAAAUAUUAACAUUUUAAUUAUGUUGUAAGUGAGUGUUCUGUUACUGUUACAGAAGAGCUUUAGCACAAGGACUUUUCUUUUAGGUGGACUCUUAGGAAAAUAUCCCAAAUUUCUACAAUUGGAGGAAAAUAACUCUUCAAUGCACAAGUUACAACACUCAUUCUUGAGUAGGGAGACCCUUUAAUAGAAGGACCAAAUGAAUAGUAGGAAUUAUCGAAGAGCAUGGAAAUUUUCUCUGCCUCAAUAAAGGAUUCUGAGUGCAAAGAAGUCUCCAUGAAACUUGUAUGGGAAAAUAGGGCUUUGUUCUCCAAACUACAGUAUUAAAGGCAUUUAAGUUAUCUCUUUCUCAGGCCAGGUCUAAACUGCAAAGUUAGGUCAAUGUAAGUUGCUUUGCAUCAGCCUAGUUGUGCAUGUAUCUACACUUAAAUUUGCCUCCCAUCAAUGCAAGUGACCCAUUACAGCGAUGCAGUAACACCAUCUCCCUGACAGGCGUUGUGCUGCCUCAAUCUCAGGAUAUUAACCAGGGCUCAAGUGUAGGCACUAUGUUAAUUAGGUUGACCUUAACAGUCCUCCAGAAGCUGCCCACUGCCCAGGGGUCACAGAGGCCUGAAGGCCUACCUCCCCUUUAAAGCCCAGCUCUCCAUUGUUGUGUGCAACUGUCCAGGUGACUAUGCCAGUUACACACUCCAGAUACACUCAAGCUUGGUGUAGUGAGGAGAUGUUGGGUCUCCUGGUCCUGUGGGAACAAGAGGCUGUGCAGGCACAGCUAGGGAUCAGCUGUAGAAAUGUGGACAUCUACAAGCAGAUUACAUGGGGGUUGCAGUGCAAGGGACUACAACAGGGACCAGCAGCAGUACCAUGUGAAAGUGAAGGAACUGCAUCAGGCAUAUCAGGAGGCGAACAGUCGGUCCGGUGCCAAGCCCCAGACUUGCUGCUUUUACAAAGAGCUGCAUGUUAUGCUUAGCAGAGACAUCUCCCCACCACCACAGCACAGACCACCGUGGAUACCUCUGAGGAACCCGAGUCACAGGCCCUGGAAUGAAAAACACAGAACAGGAGGAGGAUGGGGGACACGUGACUGGGGAGGGUCAAGCUAUGCUGCGAGCCAGGACCUGCUUGAGACCCCCCCUGCAGUCCAGUCAGUCCUGGCAGUCUAGCACAGGCAAGCCUGAUGCAGGGGAAGGAACCUCAGCUGUCACUACUGAGACCUUGAGGGGUUCCGCCUCCACAUGCAGAGAACACCAGAGAGGAGAGAAGAGGAUUUGGGAUGACACAUUCAGUGAGAGAUCCUGCAAGCGAGUGCUGCAUCAGAUCAUGAGCAAAGAUCCUGGAGGGGACCGCUGAAGACAACCCGGAGAAGGAAAGAGCUGAUAAGAGAGUUCCAGGAGGAAGAGGAGAGGGAGAUGUACCAGGAUAUAACAGGGUUUCUCCAGCAGCAAACAUAAAUGCUGCAUACCUGUUGUGGACCUGAAUGUUCAACAAUCUUGGGUUCACCUCUCUUUUUGCAAUCCAUGGAGAACCUCAUUACAGAAUCUCCCUACACUCUCUCCUCCCCUCAACAUUUCGCAUGGUGUCAGGGGCCGAAUCCCUUACCCCUACCAGUCCACCCUGGAGGACGUUAAGGACAACCACAGCUUCUCAUAUGCUGACCUGUGAAAGGCAUGGUUGCUGUAUGUGGAAAUAAAAUGGACAUGAAUGUUCUUUCCCUUAAGUUCAGUUUUAUUAAUUUUUCAAGCUUUUAAUGUAUUUGCUUUUAUUUGCAAAGAUUUUCUUUGCACUGGUUUUGUUACUGAAUAAAAUUCUAUUAUUUGGAAAAAAA